ACUGUUCUACAAUUUUAGGACCAAAAUGCAAGAUGUUGAUGGGGCAACAAAGCAAAAGACGACGAUGGUGUCGUUCAGUGGUAAAUGCUGAGCGGAAGAGAUUAUGAUUUAAAGGACAGUUUGCUUCUCAGCCGAGCCUCUGUUGUCACGGGCCUUCAUGAAGACCCCAAAGAGAGUUGCACAGGCCCCCAGAACCACGUGGUCACACCGAACCAGGGAUCAGACUUGAACAGAUUCCACAUAUGAGUGAGAUCACGUGAGACUUGUCUUUGGACUGUUUCGCCCAGCAUAAUACUCUCCAUGCUGUCACAAAAGUGAUGCAGUCCUGCUGAGAGCCAUAGGUUGACUCUUCCGAGGACCCGUGAGCUUCCACCAUCUUAUUUGGUAACUCUAUGUUUUAAAUGUUUCAAAUAUUUACCAUGAUAUAUUGAAUAUUUACUACAUGCUAGUCCCUUACUGUAUCUCAGUCUUUAAAACAGCCUGAUGAAAUGGGUGUUAUUUAACUUUCUUACAGCUAGGAAAACCCAUAGAGCACUUACUUUAUAGCUAGGAAAAUGUACAAGUCUUAGAGAGGCUAAGAGACUUUCACUAGGCACCAGCCGUGUCCAGGAAGUCGCUGAGUUGAGGUCAGAUGCGUAUUCCUCUGACCUCAGAGCUCAAACUUGGCCUCACAGAGCCGCGCAGGCGCUCGGUAUCGGUGAAGACCCACAGGGCAGCUCUCAACUUAGACCCUUCAGUGUCCAGUGGCCAAGUUUAGGCAGCAAAGUUUAAAUCUUUCUCAGACAAUAGUUGCAGUUAAGAAAAAAAGCUAAGAGAUUUCAGUUCUAAAUAGUAUUUAUACUACAUCUAUGCAAAUCAAUAAACACUAGACUAAAAUAGUUACCCAGAGUAAGAGCAAUGCUACAAUGUUUCCCGUUAAGUA